UCAAAACCAUUCCUUACAUAGAGACUUACAAACACCAAAUACAAACUAUCGCUCAACUCUUCCUUGUGAAAUGCAGGUACAAAGAUAUAAGGGGAGGAAGGCUCCCACUAAACUGAUCAGCGUGAUAUGGUUCGCUUCGAGAGGAUGUUGAUCGACUCUUUAAUAUACUGGAGAGAUUCAUCUUUGCCCAGCAGGCCUGGGAGAAAAUGAGGGAGUUGUCUGGCUCUUCUUUAGUGCCACAGUUUGAGCCACCCUUACAGCAUAAAGAUU
rnacentral:lncRNA from 1 species